rnacentral:lncRNA from 1 species
CCCAUAUUCAAAAUCUUGGCUCCAGAUUCAAAAUUCAAACCGUAUACAUAUAUAACCUACAUUAUUCUGGCUCCCCUUUCAAAAUUCAAUCCCUCUCUCAAAUCCAGAGCACCUCCACAUCCAAUCUUCAAAUCCAGAGCACCUCCAAAUCCAAUCUUCAAACCGUAUCUAUUUUAUUUAGAAUACUCUGCUCCAUUCAAAGGUUAGAUCCAUGAAGUAGCAAUUAGGGCAAACUUCAAGAGAGAUCGAGCAUGUAAAGUGUGCCAGACGCCACCAUAUUCUCCUUCCACUAAGGUUAUAUUCCUCUUUGCCUUUCUCUGAAAUCUGAACACCGCCCACUGCCUUUCCCUUCUCUGAACUACAUCGAUUUUGGCGGUGUGUUAUUAUUUUGUGAUUAGGUUAUAUGGCGGUGUGUAACCAUCUUUGUCUUCGUUCCAAAGAUAAUCAGAUCAUAAAGAUGGUUACACACCGCCAUAUGUGAGGGUCCGAUGUCAACAGAGCGACUAAGAUGAAGCUGAAUUGGAGAUUAUGUUAUGUGGAAGCAUGGAGUUCAACUCUCCACGUUCUCUCACUAGUUUAUGGAUAUUGUUGGUGCUUCUUCCCUGUCAAUAAUUUCAUCUUUAUUAACUAUUGCAAAUCAUAAAGAUGGUUACACACCGCCAUAUGUGAGGGUCCAAUGUCAACAGAGCGACUAAGGUACUGUGGGAGAGAAAGGUCUAUGAUGCUGUUGAACUGUAUUUUCCGCGUAGGAGGAUGUUCGAUGCUUUUAACUAACGAUAGGGCUCGUAAGAAUCAAGCAAUUUUGAAGCUGAAUUGUUUGGUUCGAACCCAAUUCGAUGCGAAUGAUGUUGUACAACUGUUGUAUGCAAGUCAAAGAUGACAAUGGAUAUGCUGGUUUUCGUCUAACCAAACUGCUCACGAAAGAAGCAGAAGCAGAAGCCGAAGCCGGAGCCGGAGUAGAAGCAGAAGCUUGCGACGCAGCAGGAGCAAAUCCUUGGAACGUUCUGUGUCGAAAUCGCCAGCUAAAUCUAAGUCACCAUCUUCUGUGAAGCCGGAAAGGUGUUGUAGCAUAUGUGUAACUAUAUGCAAACUUCUGAUUCAAAUACCUAUGUUCCAACUUCAUAUAGGAAAUAUAGACACCGCCAAUCUUGUAAAGGAAAGAAGUCAGCAGCGGUUUCCAGUCCCUGGAGAGCCCGUAUGUUUUGUCUGUGGCAAAUACGGGGAAUAUAUAUGUGAUGAGACCGAUGAUGAUAUCAAAGGUGGGAUUUCAGUACUAUGAACGACAAAGUGCUUGAAGAUUUCUACCAACACUGUUUUAACCCAAAAUAGUGGAUUGGUAUAAUUUUUCUUUUGUUUAAUAGGGUAGCAUCUCAAAGGAAACCACUGUUUUACCCCAAAAGUGGUUUCAAAACACUGUUGGGUUAAAACAGUGCGUUAAACCACUGUUGGGUUAAAACAGUGCGUUAAACUACUGUUGGGUUAAAAUAGUGGUUGAAACCACUGUUGGGUUAAAAUAGUGGGUUAAACCACUGUUGGGUUAAAACAGUGAGUUAAACCACUAUUGGGUUAAAACAGUGAGUUAAACCACUGUUGGGUUAAAACAGUGGUUUCAACCACUGUUGGGUUAAAAUAGUGAGUUUAACCACUGUUGGGUUAAAACAAUGAGUUUAACCACUGUUGAGUUACAACAGUGGUUGAAACUACUGUUGGGUUCGAAGAGUUAUCCGCAGGUAAUGGGACUGUUAAAAGUAUUCCUCAAAAGAAUACAUAAUCAAAAGGCUAAAUCUAACUCAGGCGGAAAGCUUCCAAAAAGUGUUUUGCUUGUAGGUCCACCUGGGACAGGGAAGACAAUGUUAGGCAGGAGAAGCAGGUGUGCCAUUUUCUCUUGUAGUGGUAGUGAGUUUGAAGAAAUGUUUAUUGGUGUUAGGACUUGCAAGGUUAGAGAUCUUUAAAUCAGUUGGAGGAAGCCGUAACCCGAAGGACCAACAAUACAUGAAGAUGCGUUUAAAUCAGUUGCUUUAGGCAUUAGAGGGUUUUAAACAAAAUGAAGGCAUUAUUGUUAUUGCUGCAACCAAGUUUCCGAAGUCAAUGGAUACGACACUAAUUAGACCUGGUCGGUUUGACCAUCGUGUGUUGUUCCCAAAUCCAGAUGUUAAAGGCAUGAGGCAAAUCAUGUUAAAGAUCUUACAGGCUGAUCGAGGCCUCUGUUGGAGAUUAGCAAUUGUUGCACUUCCAGCUAUGUUUUUGCUGAUUAUUCCAGGGGUAAUAUAUGGAAAUAUUUUAGCGAAAAAAGAAGAGAAAAUACAAGAAGCUUAUACAGUUUCCGGUGGGAUAGCAGAACAGGCGUUUUCUUUGAUUAAAACAGUUCAUUACUACGUUGGAGAGAAAAAAAUGGUGAGUCGGUUUUCAGAUGCGUUAAUACCAACUUUAGCUCUAGGUAUUAAACAAGGUUUGUUAAAAGGAAUGGUUCUUGGUAGCAUCGGAAUUUUGUUUUCUAUUUUCGCUUUUAUGAGCUGGUAUGGGAGCAUCUUGGUCAUCAAAAAAGGAAUCAAAGGGAGUAGUUUAUACCCAGACUAUUAUGACACUAAUACCGUGAAGGUGAAUGACGCGCAACUUAGCACCAUAAAGACCCUUUGAUAGUGAGUUUGCUUCUUCUAGCAUAGCUAUAUGAUUUUGAUUCUAUGUUAAUUUCAUUUCAUUAUGAGUAGCGUCUUAAACCGAAAUAUAUAUGUACAUUUGAGGCUUAAAACAUGAGUGUUUGAUACAGUCUCUUAUAUUGUUAUGUUAGUGUCUUUCUAAUUGUGAGUUAAGUAUGUUGAUGGUGCUAUACAAUGAACAGAGAUAAAUUGGUU